rnacentral:lncRNA from 1 species
AAAAAAUCCCCACACUCCCGCACUCAGCAGGACACGCACAUGUAUUCAAAUAAACAAAAAUACAAAAAGAAAAACUCAUUCUCUCUCUCUCUCUCAGUCAUUAUUCAUCAUCUUCCUCUUCAAACACCAAGACACCAAAACCUUAGCCACUCUCUCAUCAAACACCCAAUCUUCGAACGACCACCACCCAAAACACCACACACAGCCCCCGAGUUCCUCCAUGGUUGACGGUAUCAGCAACACUCACGGUUGAGAGAAAGAAGGAGAGGGAGGAAAAGAAUAAUUGAAUUUUGAUAGCGUCGAUUUCCCAUCUCCAGCAAUGGUAAACACUACCGUCAGAGUAGGGAGGAAGAUAAGGAGGAGUAUACCAUGCAUGACCAUCCAUGCUCCUUUUAAACCUCAAUAAUGAGUGCAGUGAUUCGCUAACAGUGGUGGUUCUUCUCUUGUGCAUGAGUUGACACGACGUCAUGACUAUUUUUGUCAGAUUUCAAUAGCUCCAGCAACCUUCAACUCCUCAAUUGGAAGUUGAUUUUUAAUGUCCUAAACCCUCACAUGCUAGCUAGCCCUAUUUUUCAUGUUUAGUUUGUAUUUUGAUUGGAAAUUUUUGCUUAAGUUCGUUGAAUUUUUGUUUUUUUGGUUGGUAUAGUUGUUUGAUUUGUGAUUUGUGAUUUGUGAAUGUGAUCGGUGAUGUUGAAUUGCUAUAGAUUGAGUAAAUUGAGUGUAUGAGAUGUUAGAAAAAAUUUUAGUCUGUAAAUUAGAUGAAAAUGUUUGAUUUA